UUGGUGAAAAAAAUGGGUGUGAAUCAUUUUUCAUGAGAAGCUUCCAUUGCAAAAAGUGCUUUUUUUAGGAACUCAGCAUCUUUAUAAGUGAAAUGCCAGAAAUCUCACAAGCUGAAGCUGAAAUGUGCUGGUUGCAACAUUAGGUGCUAACAGUUGGCAAAGCUUGAGUCCCAGUGGCUAAAGCACCAGAGAAAAUGGCAGACAGCUCCUUGGCUUUUAAAUUUGGGCUGUCUCACUUGUGUGACAGGAGGAGAGAGGGUAGGGCUGGGCUCAGGCUGGCUGGCUGUGAUUGACACAAUUCAGGGACAGGUUUUUAUGGCUCUCAUCCUGGUGAUGUUCUGAUUGCCUCCCCAGCACUAAUGAAGACAUCCCCUAAUGGGCCUGCCAGACUAAUGCAUCGUGACACCUCGAUAACAUGAUGAGUGCAUGGCUCCUCCUGCCCUCUCUCUUCUAGGUGAAAGCCUGUGAACAAAUCAAGGGAAUGCUCACCUGCUGCCAGGGCUGGAUCUGCCCCAUUUCUACAGCAGCAGCAGCAGCCACGCCCGGGGUCCCCAGCUGUCCCCUGCACCGGCAGCAGGGAGGACACAGGGCACCCGUCCCCACGCUGCUGUCAGACCUCCCAGUGACAUCUCUGAAGGGACAACACUUCUAUUUGUGCUCCUGGGUACCUGCUGUCCCUAACAGUUUUAAAAAAUAAUAAGAAGCGGGAAAUUGCAAAGCCAGUGGACCGAAACACCGUGGUGUGCAGGCAGAAGCCGCUGUGUCCAUGCUACUGCCACGGAUGCUGCGGGAGAGAGCAGGAGAAUGCGACCCACAGCUCCAGUGAGAGUAAUGAAAUGUUUUGUGACUGAGGCUGCCUGGCCCCGCAUCUGCAAUAAUCAAAUCCUGGGCUCAUUUUGCAAACUGCAGCUACUGAGAAUGGGAGAGAGCAGCAUACUGAGAGCAGCAUCACUCUGGCGGCGUUGUGGAACUCGGAUGCUGCCAACAGAAACCUGCAGGAGGAGGACAAACACACUGGGCUCCCAAAGCACUGUGUUUUGAUGGACUUGCUCUUCCAUUUGUGAGACAAUAGACUGAGGAGCCAGUGGCACUUCUGCUGCAUGGACCUGGUGACAAUGCUCUGUCUGCUGCCAGCAUCACCAGGCGCAUACGUGCCCAUGUCAUCCUGGUGCAGGUGAUGGCUGUCACCCUGCAGAUCCAUGGCUGUGUCCAUCCCAGGCUUGGCCCAGGACCAGCCUGCAACGAGACUGGCAGACAUUGAACCCUCCUCUCGGUAACCACACGGCUCAAAGCUUCCAUGGGUGACAUCAUCCAUCGCCAGGUCUGGGCCUAGUCAC